rnacentral:misc_RNA from 1 species
CCUGCUGCAACAUCAGUGUUCAUCCCGCAGUUUGAAAAACGACGAUCUCAAAACGAGGACUUCAAGGAAAUAGAAAAAGAAAUUCUAGUCAAUGGAUAUACUGAUUUAUGAUAAAGCUGUACUAGUGUGAAGUUCCAUAGGUGUUUUCUAUAUAUUUGCAUAUACAUGUACUCAUUGAUUUAUGUCUUUGAACCAAAUAAUAGCAAUAGGCAAUCGAUGUACAGUAGAAUGUUUAGAAUUCCUUUUACACGAAAUCAAAAAUAAAAACGCGUAGGCGCUUACAAGAUUAAUUGAGUUUGAAAUGGAAUUCUGAUUUAUUAAGUCACUAUGGAAUGUUAUUACAGAGCUUGCUUUUCAUAAACCGGUUCUUAUCGCAUAGUUAACAUUAGACAGAUUAGGUGCACAAUAAAUGAACCCUGUCUAUAAAAUGUAGAAUAAAUGACUUAAGUUUUACUCUCCACUUCUAAAUGUGUUUGUUUAAUUGAUGUUAGUAUAUAUAUUCAUUUUUUUCCGCAUUAUAUCCACCUUAUUUCAUGAACAAAUAUAACAAUCAGUUUUAGACCAGCUGUUUCCUUAUUUUUACCAGCUUAUGAUAGAUAGUUCAAAACAUGUAUAGUCUAAUUUAUUUUAGAGACGGAUCAUGCUAUUUUUAGUUUAAUUCCCAAUAACAAAUAUACAAUGUGUUUCCUUUGCUAUAUAUACUCUUAUACUCUUAAGACUGUAUGAAAUUAUCUUGAUACUCUGUAUGUGUUAUCCGUAUUUUUACAAUUAAAAAAUACAUUCACAGUAUUGCAGUUGAUAUGCAUAU